rnacentral:rRNA from 1 species
GUACACGCUGUGACUAGCAUAUCAAUAAGCGGAGGAAAAGAAACUAACAAGGAUUCCCCUAGUAACGGCGAGUGAAGCGGGAAGAGCUCAAAUUUGAAAUCUUAAAGGGUUUCCCUUUACGAAUUGUAGUUUAAAGAAGUGUUUUCUGUUGAGGUUUUGGUAAAAGUUCUUUGGAAUAGGACAUCAUAGAGGGUGAGAAUCCCGUAUUUGACCUUUACUUUCAACUUUGUGAUACACUUUCAAAGAGUCGGAUUGUUUGGGAAUGCAGUCCAAAAUGGGUGGUAAAUUUCAUCUAAAGCUAAAUAGUUGGCGAGAGACCGAUAGCGAACAAGUACCGUGAGGGAAAGAUGAAAAGAACUUUGAAAAGAGAGUUAAACAGGUACGUGAAAUUGUCAAAAGGGAAGCGUUUGACACCAGUGUUGUUUUUCUGAAAAUCAAUUAAAGAACUGUUUAUGCUAAGCUGUUUAGACUUUAUCAGCUAUCUGUUUAGUUUUGAGCUUUUCUUUAAUGCACUUUUCAGUUAACAAGUCAACAUCAAUUUCUUUUGCUGUAAAAAAGCUUGAGGAAGGUGGCUUGAGAUUCGUCUUAAGUGUUUAUAGCCUCUUGCCUAUGCAGUCGGAGAGAUUGAGGUCUGCAGCGUAGAUCCUUCGGGGCUAAAUGCAUUUGUGCUAAGUUAUAGCAUUUUAUAGACAACUUGUUGACUAUGAUUUGUCUUGUAGCUUACUCGCUUAUGUUAUUUUACCUACGCUUAGGAUGUUGAAGAUGUAGCACAUCAU